rnacentral:tRNA from 1 species
GGCUGUAGCUCAGUGGUAGAGCAUUUGGCUUGCAUGUGUGAGGUUCCACAUAAAAAUAAAUAAAUAAGGAUAUUGUGUCCCUCUACAACUAAAAAAAUUUUAAAAGGGUGGCAGGCUCAGUGGUUAAGUAAGCACCCCUAGGUUCAAUCCCUAGUACCA